CCAGGCCUAGAACUAUUUGGAGAUUUCGGGACCUUCAGAUUUUUACCACAUCCACAUCACCUCCAUACUCCACGUCCAGCCCCCAGCCCCCUCCUCUUUCACUCAGACCCCAUGUCUGUUCUGGAACCCUAAGAUGUCCCCAGCCCGCAGACCCCACCAGCACCCUCCUGAGCCCCCUAGCCCUUUGAUACUUCAGAGCCUUGCCCAGGCUCAGUUCUGCCUGCAGCCCUUGAGUUUCCCUUGAAAUGCCUGCCCCUGCCCUAAACUCCCCCUUAUCACUUCUGAUCCCUUGGGCUCCCAGUCUCCAGAUGUACAGCUCCCUGGCCCGGCCUACCAGACAUCUCUUUUCCCAUCAGACCCUCUCAAGUCGCCUUCUCAGCUAGCCCUAUUGUCCUUUAACUCCACCCUCCCCUCAGGAGUGGACCCCAUCCCAGAAGCUGACACUGCAGAUGCAUUCCCAGGCCUCCCGCUUCCCGGUGGAGCUUGGCUCUGUGAGGGAUCCAGAUGCCCAGGUAGGGCGUCUGCAUCGCCUAGCAAUGGCUGGAGGCCCGUGCUGGGGCCUAGCCAGGCUUCUGCGCAGAGUGGUCCAGGUAGAUGGAGAGAACUCUGCUGGGCAGACAGCGCUCUUCCUGUCCGCACUACUGGGCCAUACUUCCGCUGUGCGCCUCCUACUGGCCUUUGGCGCCAACCCCAACCAGUGAGUGGAUAGGUCCCUAUACCCAACACUCCCAGGGUACAAAUCCCCUUCUAUCCCUGUAGUGCCCUCCCUGUCCUCGGUUACCCUCUUCUUGCUCGCUACUGACUGUGUCUCUAGUGCCUCCCAGAACUCACAAAGGUCAGCUCAUCCCUUGUGUUCUCACGUGACCCACCCACAUGACUCCUCCCAUCCACUCAGACCCCAUCCAGCUCCCUGCCCCCCGUUUUCAUCCACCCCGCCCUUCCCUCCUCUUCUGUCCUAGCCGCUGCCUCGAUGGCAGCACACCCACGCACGCAGGUGCCUCCUCGGGCCGAGGCUUGGUGCUGUGGCACCUGCUGCAGGCAGGAGGUGACCUGCGUCUGCGUGACCAGCAGGGUCGCACACCACGAGACUGGGCUGAGCAGGGUGAUACCAAGCAGAGGUGGGAGGUGAGUUGUGUCCAGGGCAGAGUGGAACCAUCAAGGCCAGCACGUGCUCCGAGGCUGACCCUGUGCCCCACCCAGGUGCUGGAGCUGAUGCAGUGGUGCCGGACCCACAUGUCAGCACUGGUGCAGAGUGGGGAGUUGGCGCCCAGUGUGUCCCUGAGUCAGUUGCAAGCUAGCUCUGGACACAGCCUGUGUGGCUCCCUGCCCUCACUAAGGCUGGUCCAGGCAGACAGGGCACUGAGGCAAGGGCAGAUCAGAAGCUCCCCCAAAACCCCAGCAUUGGGGUUCGGCCAGCUGAGCAGCCUGCAGCCACCAGCACUGAUAUCGGGCAUCCCAGUAGUAGACCCCAAGGAGCUGGUACCAACCCAGGGUGAGCCUGACCGUACCUACGACAGCAGUUCUCAUACCAUCAUGACCAACCUCCUGUGGAAGGGCCACCCAGUUACCGUACGGCAGCUGAAGAGCCCUGAAUCCAGCCCUGAUGUGCUAUUGGCUGACCUUCAGCACUGCAGCAUCCUGCACCACCCUGGCCUGCUGCUGCUGAUGGCACUGAGCCCCUCAGAGGACCUGUCUAGACUGAGUCUGCUCUUCGAGCCAGUGUGGCUGGGCUCCCUUUAUAUCCUGUUGCAUUCUGCAAGACUGGAUGAGAAAUGUCCCCCAUCCCUGCCAGGCCUGCUGCCUGGCCCUCUGCUGCUACAGGUGUUGGAGGCCCUGUUGUUCCUGCAGUCCCGCUGCUGGGCCCACGGUGGCCUGAGUUCCCAUGCUGUGCAGCUAGUGCGGCCAGGCCUGGCUAAGGUGAGCCACCUAGAACACGGGCGUCCACUGCACCAGCCCAGGCUGCAGCCCAGGCUGCAACAAGACUGCCCCCAGAGAGACCCAAAUCCAGGGCUGCCCCCACCCCCUGAACUGUACCCAUGGCUACCACUUGAGCUGAUCCGUGGUGACGUGCCAGCCCCUACCUCAGACCUCUACAGCUUCUGCGUCCUGGCCCAGGAGGUCUUCACUGGAGAGCUGCCCUGGGCUGGAGGAGAGGGCCUUGAGGUGAAGGCUAAGCUGGAGGCAGGUCAGAGUCCAGGCCUGGACCCCUUGUUGCCAGCCCCAUACCAGGCCUUGGUUCAAGCUGGACUGGGUCUAGAGCCUGCUGACCGCUGGGGCAGCUUGCAGAGCACUCGGUACCUGUUGCGAAAGGCCAUGGCCAAGGACUCAGCACCCAACGUCAGCUCCCCACUAGAAUGGACAACACUGUCUCCUGUAACCCUGGGUUCCCUGCCAGAGCAUCUGUACUGUGAAGGGGCUCCCAGGGCCAGGGCCAGGGCCAGAUCCAGGCUUGUGCUCCCUUUCCCAGACCCUUCUCAGGCUCUGGGGACUCCUGAGACCACAGGUCACGAAACCUGCUAGUGAGGAUCGUGAGCUGACAGAAGGCAGUCUCUUCUCCAGCCUACAGGAGAUGGAUCUGUUGGAGGAGAUCAUGGCAGAGAUGCAGAAUAAGUACAACCUCGAAGACAAGCCUGCCCUGAGUCCUACUCUCAGCCCAGACUCCUAGGGCGCCCUCUCAAGACUGACCCCAACCCUCAAUGUUUGCCUCAAAGCCAAGAGCAUGGAAAAUCCCCAGUUUGUCUUCAUUCACUGGCUCCAGCAACAAAUUUCUGCCAUUUUUAUUCAUUAAUGUCAUCAGGUGGCUUAAUGGGUGGGGUGCAUGGGAGAGGUGGGCAAGAACUGUCUCCCCACCCCAUGUACAGGGCUGGAGGCUCCUGGAGGGAGGAGGACAGUGAUUCAGCCUUGCCCCCCAUUGUGCAAGGGCCCCAAGAGGGAGGUGGGGGAUGGUCAUGCCCUGCAAUCCACGAUCGGGACACAAUGAUUUUGGAGUUAGGGACCCACAUCAGAGCAAGUUACAAAGUUAGAAACCUGGGGUAGGGUGGUGAGCUCAAGAAAAUACAAAACAAGGGAUUGACUUGGGCCAAGAUCCAAUGCAGGGAGGGUCCUUUCCUGGUCCUAUCUCAGCAGUAACUUCUGGUCUGUCCUUCUGAAUUUAAGGACCAGCUAGGUGUGGGGUAAGGAGGAGG
rnacentral:lncRNA from 14 species